rnacentral:rRNA from 1 species
AUGUCUCUCCCUAAAUCUCAAGACGGUGUAGGUUUCCGUGAUAUGCGAACGUACAAUUAGGCUUUGUUAGCUAAACAAGCCUGGAGGCUCAUUACUUCUCCAGACUCGAUAUGUGCAAGACUUCUUCGAGCCAAAUACUUUCCUGAUGGGAACCUGGUAAAUACAGUAUUCCGGGCAAACAGUUCUGCGAUGUGGAAGGGCAUCGAGCAUGGUUUAGAAAUGGUAAAAAAUGUAUGA